CCGGCUGAGUAUGCAUUCGGCUGACAGUUGUUUUUGCGACGAUGUGCAGUUGUUGGUCUUUUUCAAAGUCACAGCUGCCGCGUGGAAUACAAAUGCAAUGCCGUCAAAAACCAAUAACAACAACAACAACAAUAUCAACAACUUUGUCGUCAUUUUGCAGCGAGCGGCUGAGCACGUGAGCGACUCAUGUUAAGGCGUGUUAUUAUUUUUAUUUGUAUGAGCGAAAGAGUGUGAGUGCAGCGAGAGUAAAUAGCGUGUGCUGUUAUUAACAUUUUCUCGCAGUUAUUAACAUUUUCGCGCAGCUAUUAGUCACUGUUAGGCGGAGAGCGCAUAAUGACGACUUUUUGGGGUUGAGGGUUGAAAAGUGCAUGUCACACCAAUACAGCUGUCGCUGCUGCCGACAGGAUAUUCGACCAGCCAGGAUAUUUUGCCUUCAGCAGCAGGUCGUGCGGUCGUCGACAGUUCAACUUCAGUUUGCUGUGCCACUGCAACAGUCAGUCAGUUCAACGCUUUGUGGCGACGUGUGCGGCUGUAAAAAUUUCGUCUCCGUUAGUUAGUUCAAUUUCAAAACGGCAACGUGCGGUUGUUUUCAAAACUUAGAAGAGAAAUUUUGAUUUUUUUCAAAGAAAUGAAAUUUAGAUUUUGAAAUACAAAGGAAAAAUACUGUAUAAAUAUUAAAAAAAAUA
rnacentral:lncRNA from 1 species